rnacentral:lncRNA from 1 species
UCACGUGCAGCUCCGGCGACGCGCUCCGGUGCCGGGAGGACGGGUGCCACGACGCGUUCCCGUACGUGAAGUACAACGACCACUCAUGCACCGCCGCCGGCAGCCGGCUCUAGAUCGUCUUCUGCCCAUGAUGAGCUAGCUAGCGGCAGAACGUAAACAUAUAACCUACACAUAUACUACGUGUAGUAGUACAUACUCAGACGUGUCAUGUAUUCUCAGCGGUACGUACGUACACGUAUGAACGCACGUGCGAGUUUCCAAUAAAAUUGCCAUGUGUGAUGUAUUGUUCUUUUUUAUCGAAUGCCUUUGAUAUAUUGUUCUUUUUUAUCGAAUGCCUUUGAUAUAUUGUUCUUUUUUAUCGAAUGCCUUUGAUAUAUUGUUUACGGGAAUUUACACCCAAAAGAACGUGAAUUUGAACAAGAUAGCCUACAAAUAUGUAUGUUUUUCCACACACAAAAAAUAUAUGUAUGUUCUAACAUUGGGCCUCAGCUUGAAUUUUUUUUUUCGAGGGGUGGGACUCAGGUUGAUGGUCAGGGUCUCAAAUGGCAUGGCCACGAUUUUUAGAGAGGUUGAGCCAGGAUAUGUGAUUGGGGCAUGAUACCAGCUUUUUUUCCAACCGGGCUCACAACCCCUUUCCAUUAAUUUUGCAAUCAACAGAAAUACAUCAGUCUGGUUUCAAGUUCUGUAUCGAGCAUCCACUUGCUAAAGAUAACUAGACUGAAAGAUAGAACUAACCGCAAGCAAAAUGAGACUGAAAGAGGAGACCAGGUUGGUGCAUCAUCAGGAAACCCAUCGUCGGACAAUCCUGGAACGGACCAUCCGCCGUGGCGCGAAAACCUGAUGACAGUUACAAGCAACUGCCCAACCAAAAUACCCAACGUUCCCAGGAUGAAACUGCCAGUAAGCCUCUACAACUAGGCGAACCACAACCAGGAAGCACAAUUGCCAGCGGGCAUCAAACCCCAGUGGACAACAGAACGCAAAAGGAAAGAUCCAAGCGCCGAUUUCAUCUAACCAAUCUGGAUCCCAUCUCUGUCUCCCAAGAGAAGUCUGCCACGAGGGAAGGACCUGUCCGCCAGCGCAGCAACCGCGUGAGCUAACCUCUUCACUCCAGCUUGGAACUUCACCUUCUCAUCCUCCUUAAGCAGACCUCACUAGUAGAAAAAGGGUCAAACGUGAAGCACAUUAGUGCCGGUUUGUAUUUGAGCCAGUACUAAUGGUACCAUUAGUGCCGGUUCGAAUGGAUUUGCAUUAAUGCCGGUUCGUGUUGAACCUUUAGUACCGGUUCGUGGCAUGAACCGGUACUAAAGGGGUGGUGGCAGGCUGGCGUCAGGCCGGGGCCCCACGAUCACCUUUAGUACCGGUUCGUGGCACAAACCGGUACUAAAGGUCUAACCUUUAGUACCGGUUCGUGCCAUGAACCGGUACUAAAGGGGUCUGACCUAUAGUACCGGUUGGAGACACAAACCGGCACUAUAGGGCAAUUUUCAAACUUGAAAAAAUCAUAACUAAAUCAUCGUAAUUCAGAAAAAUACAUAUAAUAUAUCAAAAUAUGCAGACUUUUAAGGAAGAAAUUAGGAAGGCUAUACAGGGAAAAUGCGUGAAGGUUCUCGCAGAGUGUGUUCCUUUAAUCUCACCAACCAGUUAGCUUAGGAUGUGCGAAUCAAUCUGUGGUUGGACGGUUAGAGGGACAGUAGUAUCCACAGCCCAUCAGGGUUUAAGUCCUGGUGCUCACAUUAUUCCUGGAUUUAUUUUAGGAUUUCUGGCGUUGUGCUUUCAGCGGGAGGAGACGUUCCUGUCGACAACGAGGCGCCUACGGUGACUUUGUAAAUGUCAAGAUGAUAUACUGGCUAGGUCUCUCGUAGGUGCUCAUAGGGGUAGGAAUGUGCAUGUGUGCAUUCAUAGGGGUGAGCGUAUGUGCGUAUGUUUGAGCACUUGCGUCUAUACUAUGCUAAAAACAGAUAGCUCGGCAUGUGUGUUAUGCUAUAUGUAUAUAACCUAGUUUCCGUUGUAAAGGGCCCGUGCGUUGCAAUGUGAAAACCCGCGAAAGUUGACCUUGGUACCAUUUGGCAGGAUCUCACAGACCUGCGAGGGCCCCACUUGCCACCCUUCCUUCCCACCGACACGGAGCCUGCAAGUAUACUCUUCAUCCACGUGUUGUGUGGCUCAGACAUGGACGAAAAUACACUGUAAUCAUGCAUGCUUGUCGUCCUGAAUGAAGAUACAUAAAUUUACAGAAUAUUUUUAAUACAGGUUGAAUUUUUUUGAAGUAUACGUUGUCAAUUUUUUGAAUGCAUGACGAACAUAUUUCGAAAACACGUUUGCAGUUUUUUAAUACAUGUGAAACAUUUUUGGAAAACAUGUUUACAAUUUUAUAAUAUACAGGAGGUGCUCUUCGGUCUAGCUGAAGCCGAAGAGGUGCUCUUCGGUCUAACUUAGGCCGAAGACAGGUCUUCGGUGUACUGUAGGCUGAAGAGCUCCGAAGUCGGGCCGAAAAGAACUCUUCGGUCUAUGCUUGGCCGAAGAGUGCACUUCGGUUUAAGCCAAGCCGAAGUGUCCUCUGAGGCCCACCUCUUCGCGUGAACUGCAGACCGAAGUUGCAUGGCACCACACUUCGGUUUACACUUGGCUGAAGAGGACCUCUUCGGUUUAUACUAGGCUGAAGAGUGACCUUUUCCCGCCAAGCCUUUUCCGCCAUCCAUAAUGUAUCUUUCCCUCCAUUUGUUCACGCCAUUUUCUUUCCCUCUACUGUUUCCUUCCAUCCUCUUUCCCGCCCAAUUUUCCUGCCAACCCCUUACCCUCAUUCUAUAAAACCAGACCCCUUGCCUGUUGUUUUCUGCAUCUUUCCUUACCAAUAUUUUCAGUCAUGUCCGACGACAAUUCCGGCGGUUUUACUCCACUAAUGUCUCAUUUGCCCUUGUGCAAUGCCUCAAGAAUGCAUAGGCCUAGUAUGGGGGGUGUGUGAAGGAAAUAUACCCUAGAGGCAAUAAUAAAGAAAUUAUUUAUUUCCUUAUUUCAUGAUAAAUGUUUAUUAUUCAUGCUAGAAUUGUAUUAACCGGAAACAUAAUACAUGGGUGAAUACAUAGACAAACAAAGUGUCACUAGUAUGCCUCUACUUGACUAGCUCGUUGGUCAAAGAUGGUUAUGUUUCCUAACCAUAGACACGAGUUGUCAUUUAAUUAACGGGAUCACAUCAUUAGGAGAAUGAUGUGAUUGACUUGACCCAUUCCGUUAGCUUAGCACACGAUCGUUUAGUAUGUUGCUAUUGCUUUCUUCAUGACUUAUACAUGUUCCUAUGACUAUGAGAUUAUGCAACUCCCAUUUACUAGAGGAACACUUUGUGUGCUACCAAACGUCACAACGUAACUGGGUGAUUAUAAAGGUGCUCUACAAGUGUCUCCAAAGGUACUUGUUGGGUUGGCGUAUUUCGAGAUUAGGAUUUGUCACUUCGAUUGUCGGAGAGGUAUCUCUGGGUCCUCUUGGUAAUGCACAUCACUUAAGCCUUGCAAGCAAUGCAACUAAUGAGUUAGUUGCGGGAUGAUGUAUUACGAAACGAGUAAAGAGACUUGCGAGUAACGAGAUUGAACUAGGUAUUGAGAUACCGACGAUCGAAUCUCGGGCAAGUAACAUACCGAUGACAAAGGGAACAACGUAUGUUGUUAUGCAGUCUGACCGAUAAAGAUCUUCGUAGAAUAUGUAGGAGCCAAUAUGAGCAUCCAGGUUCCGCUAUUGGUUAUUGACUGGAGACAUGUCUCGGUCAUGUCUACAUUGUUCUCGAACCCGUAGGGUCCGCACGCUUAAGGUUUCGAUGACAGUUAUAUUAUGAGUUUAUAAGUUUUGAUGUACCGAAGGAGGUCGGAGUCCCGGAUGAGAUCGAGGACAUAACGAGGAGUCUCGAAAUGGUCGAGACAUAAAGAUCGAUAUAUUGUACGACCAUAUUCGGACAUCGGAAAGGUUCCAAGUGAUUCGGGUAUUUUUCGGACUACCGGAGAGUUACGGGAAUUCGCCGGGGAGUAUAUGGGCCUUAUUGGGCCACACGGGAAUAGAGGAGAGAGGCCAAAAGGAAGGAGGCCCCCCCCCUCUGGUCCGAAUUGGACAAGGGGUGCAACAACAACAUACAACUAUCUAGAUAAAGCAUUUAAAUGCAACAACAAAUGCGAUCAAAAUUGCAACUAAGGUAAUUAUUGAUCCAAUAGCAUAAUGAUACCAAGCCUAUUUAUUAGCGGCAUAUUUUCUAAACUUUCUAAUCUUCAAGCAAAUUGCAUCCAUCUUGAUCUUUGGAUCAUCGACGACAACAACAACAUACAAAUCCAAUUUCAUCUUCUCUUCUCAAUUCUUUUUAAUUUUUCUUUCAAAUACUCAUUUUCUUUUUCAACUAAAUUUAACUUCUCGACGAGAGGGUCGGUGGCAAUUUCUGGUUCACAUACCUCCUAGAUAAAAAUAUAUAUGUCAGCUUGAUGGGCAUAAUUGUCAUAAACACGAAAUGCAACAAAUAGUUAUAAAAGAUAUUAUACCACAUCCGAAUCAUAAAUCGGACAAGGGCCGUCGGCGAAGGAUAUCAAAACCAUGGCACUAUGUAUAACAAACAAUCAUACAAGUAAGAAAAUUAUACAAGCAACUAUCUAAAUCAUAGAAAUAAGAUUUCUUUGCACAAAAAGGAUAAGAACAAGAGCCUCACCAAGGAGGUGUCGGCGACGGGACGGCGCGGGCGAUCGAUGGCGGUGAGGACGGGAAGGCAGUAGUUAAACCACACCUACACAUAUGGAAACUAAGAAGUUAAUUUGAGCUCAAAUUACAUAUAAAUCAAAUAAACUCCCACAUAAUUACUCCCAAACCAAAACCCACAAAUGACUAUACUUAUACAACAUGAAACAAGCUAAACUAGCAAUGAGAGAGGAAAGGACAAAGUUACUAACCUUUUAAACACUUGGAUAGAUGGGGUGCCUCAAAUCUUAACAAAUCUUGGAAGUUAGAUGACACCACUACACUACACACGAUAGGAGUUAUCUUGAACGAAACACAAGGGAAGAAAGUCGGACCCGACAAAGGUCGUCCAGGUAGGUAGCCAUCUUUGAAUUGAAUGAGUGUUCUCCAAAGUAGCUAGCUCGGUGAGAUGAUCGAUAUCUUCAUCACGAACCCUAUAUAAACGCCAAGCUCCAUGAGCUCAGUCCCAGCACACACACACCCAUAGUUCCACCUAAUAUAAUGGCCGGAAGCGCGAGCGCCACUCCGGUCCUCCUCGUCGUCGUGGUCGCGGCCCUCGCCGCGGGGGCCAGCGCGACAUCGACGCUGACGCCGCUCAGCAUCACCAACCGGUGCUCCUUCACGGUGUGGCCGGCGGUGGCCUCCGCAGGCCUAGGCACCGAGCUCCAUCCGGGAGCCAACUGGACCGUGGACGCGUAGGCGAUCCACUACACUGCAGACAUAUGGGGGCGCACGGGCUGCUCCUUCGACGCGGCAGGCAGGGGGCGGUGCCAGACGGCGGACUGCGGCAGCGGGCUGCGGUGCCGGAGCACCGACCCUGCGGCGCCGGCGACCAAGGCCCAGGUCGCCAUCUCCGAGGGCUUCUACCACUACGGCAUCACGUUGGACAAGGGGUUCAACCUGCCCAUGGAUCUCACGUGCAGCUCCGGCGACGCGCUCCGGUGCCGGGAGGACGGGUGCCACGACGCGUUCCCGUACGUGAAGUACAACGACCACUCAUGCACCGCCGCCGGCAGCCGGCUCCAGAUCGUCUUCUGCCCAUGAUGAGCUAGCUAGCGGCAGAACGUAAACAUAUAACCUACACAUAUACUACGUGUAGUAGUACAUACUUAGACGUGUCAUGUAUUCUCAGCGGUACGUACGUACACGUAUGAACG